UCAACUGUCUGAAACGCCGGAAAGCGGAAAAUCCCAGAAACACUCCCCCGUGCUUCCAACUUAUAAUCUUGAAACCCAUUUUCUCUCCCAACUCGAUUUGAAUUUCAGUUUGUCAAUCUGUUUACCAAAACCCUUGGCUGGCCGAUAUCAUUUCCGUUUUAUCUGGUUAAGGGUUUUUAAGUCUAUUGCCCAUUUUCAGGAGUUGAUCUCAUAAGUGGUGUCUACAUAUUGACGUUGUUGGGCAUCUGCUGGAGCCUCGAUGUAACAUCAGUGUUGUACAACAACAACAUAACUCUCUUCUCUUCCUCUUUUUUAUUUUUGACUGAGAGAAUUUAUCAAACACUUAUUGAACCAGAAAAUGGUGUUCUUUGAUUUCAAUGUUCCGUAUCUAGAACCAGAAAAAACACAAAAACCCUUACCAGACAGUAAAAGAAAAACACAAGAUUGAAAAUAGCAGUAAAAGCAAUGGAAUUACAGUGGAGUAGCUUAUAAUAGAUGUAUGAAAGGAGUUAUGUUGUACAAUUUUCAUUGUUAAAAGCUUCUCCAGCUCUACCUGAUUCUGUUAAAUUUCAUAGAGAACUAUUGAGAGUUCCAUUGAAUACUCCUUUUCGUCAGCAAACUAGGUUAACAGUUACUGUUGAGAAUAUUGUUCAAGCUGGUGUUUUAUAUUCAGGAAAUCCUGUUUUGAAAACUUAUGAUUUGGUUGCUGUCAAGCCUUUGAAUCAGACUGCAUCUGUAUUUGAUCACGUCUGUAAAGCUUCUGAGGUGGAUUUAAUUGCUAUUGAUUGUUCGGAGAGGUUACCUUUUCAGUUGAAGCUUCCCAUGGUUAAAGCUGCAAUUGAGUGAGGGAUAUACUUCGAAAUAACUUAUUCACAUCUUAUCUUUAAUAUUCCAGCAAGGAGGCAAAUUGUUACAAAUGCUAAGCUAUUACUGGAUUGGACACGAGGGGAAAAUAUCAUUUUCACAAGUGGUGCGUCUUCUGUUAAUGAACUUAAAGGGCCUUAUGAUGUGGCAAGUCUGUCUUCUUUGCUUGGCCUCUCUAUGGAACGUGCAAAAGCUGCGACUUCAAAAAAUUUCAGGUCUGUUAACUUAAAAACAUUUCAUCAUUAAUUUUAAUUUGUCAAUUUAUAAACUUAUUACAAAAGGUACGCUUAGGUGGUUCAACAUGUUUAACAGUCCACUCUGUGUGUCAGGGCUUUAAUAGCCCGAGCAUUUAGGGAAAAACAGUUUUACAAGGAAGCCAUUAGAGUCGGAAAAAAUUCCAUAUUGUCAACAAGUAGAUACAAAGGAGCCUUGGUUGGCUGACUGCAAUAACUCGGAUGAAAUCUCCAGCGGUGAAGGAGAUAUUUCAGUUGAAUGAUAUUGCAAAAAAAUGUUAUUCAGAUGACAGGUAGAAAGUACGAUACAUGCAUUUGAAGAUGUUGGAAUUAGAUCCAUGUAGUAGAAGUAUCGUCGAUGCAAGUAGUUAUUCAGAUGACAGGUAGAGUAUAAACCAAAAUGACUCCUUUAAUAGUUUUUAUCCCCGAUUUAGGUGACACACAGAGAUUAUACUGAAACAAGUCCUUCAGUAAUUAAGUUUGUCUGAUUUUAUAAAUCUGACUUCUCUAGCUUUCAUCAUGACACUUCUGUGUUAGCAUAGAUUUUGUUUAGUUAAAAUGCCAAAUUGUUAUUGACCGUUGAGACUUUGUUGUGCAUUUUUAAAGCAUCCAGCAAUUGCUUAGGUUUACAUAAAUGUUUGUGGACAUGGAUGUAAUGGUACUCAGAAAUAAAUAUUAGAACUUGCAUCUUGCGUUUAGUUCCUCAUAGUACUUUGUCUUGUUAUACCGUACCCUAUGAUGCACACUAAGAAAGUGAGUCCAGUUUUUGAAAUUCUGAUCUGUCGUUUCUAUGCCUCCAUCAGCUUUCUUUUGCUGCCUUAACUUUUUGUUUAUGUAACUGUUGGUUUAUCCUUCUUUUGGGUUUUCUAUAAACUAGGAGUUGUAAUAUUUUAAUUCUUUUGCAUUUUGGUUCUCUAUGUUUUUUGUUUAAUUUUACUCAAAAUUUCACUUCCUAUUUUUGGCGUGGUUCUUCAAUAUGGCACCUCUCUCUUCUUUCAUUAUGAUGUUUGAUUAUUGGGAAUCCUUGUUCCAUUUUAGUUUAAGUAUUGAAAUGUGACUCUGUCGGGAUUUCUCAUAUGUGUUUAUGAUUAUCCCUAGACAUGUUUAUGUGCCUAGACCCACUUGGCCGCCAAGGAUUCGCCCAAUGGUUUUACCACCAUAGUGAAGUAGCUCGUAUAAGUUGGUACCAUUUCGUCCGGUGCGGCUACGAUGUGGUCGGGCCACAUACUUCAAGUAUGUGACCCAUCUUAGUUUUGUGACACCUAUUAUAAAGUAAUAAAAAAAGUCUUAAAACAGUUAAAUACCAAAAAGUGUAACUAAUUCUUUUUCUUAACUCCCUAUUUUCUCUCAAAAAGUGAAAUGUUGAUAGGGAUUUAGAGGUGGCAGGUUUUUAGUUGUAAUAAGUGUCACAAAACUAAGAGGGGCCACAUACUUCAAGUAUGUGGCCCGACCACAUCAUAUCCUUGGCUCAUUUCGUCUUGUAGAUUUGGUGUAUGUAGUCAAAAUAGCUGCGAACUAAUGCCUGGUGUUAAAAGGAAAGUUACAAUAUUCUGAUCUUUUGAAGUUUAGAAUAAAAUUGAUUAAAUUUGGUGAAGUUUCAAGGGUUUGAGAAUAAUUUGCCACCUGUCACUAGGUCCUUUCAGCAUAAGUUGUUACUUAUUCUUUUUAUUUUAGAUCAAUUUUAAUUAAAUAUGAUCUUUUGAGCGUCUUUCUCCUUUGCCUCUGCUACAACCAUUUGUUGAUUGCGUUCUCUCCAGAUGCUCCAACAAAUGGCAUAAAUUAGGAUGUUCCAAAUAAAAUUUCCACCCAUUGUGAAUAAGCUAUUAUUGUUGCCAUCUGCCUCUGAAUCCUUUUAACAUUAAUGUUGUUAGUGACUGUUUUUUUUUUUUUUUUACAAUUAACAUGCUUGGUAUCCCAGUAUGACGUCGUGACAUAUCUCCUUUUCUUGUUCUCUGAGAAGUUUUAUGACCAUCUUUGUUGAAGCGCAUUCUCAUGAGUGAUAGAUACUCACGUAUGGUAGAUCGCUAUAUCUUUAGUUUAGUGGGGGUGCACACAGAAGGGUGGUAGUUCAUUAUUCAGUUUUUGGGUUUCCAAGCUGCUUUUAUAGUCUCAUUUUCAUGCUAAAUCGAAUAAAACUUGGGAAGCCAAUUGUCACUGUUUGAAUAGUUCUUUUAUGAGCGGCUAGUCAUACAUUUCUCCUUAGUUACAGUGGAUGCUUAAUAGCACAGCAUGAAUGCAACCUUUACAUCCCCCAAGUUACAUUUGCUUCUCCUCGGAUUUGACAUGCUAUAUUAGAGUCUAAGUAUUAAUUACCAUAGUUCCAGCCUCCACAUGCAUCAUUACCAUAUUUCCUAGAUAAUAUUUUGUUAAUACAGAAAAGUAUAGGAAUAAAUCAGAAAAUUAGAAGCAAAUAUAUGACUAGAUAUAAUGUAAUUUAGUGUUUACUCGUGCUUGCCUUUAAUUUUGAUUCUGGGCAAUGAUAUGCCUUCUUUUAUCUUCUUUUUUUGAGAAAUAUCAAUGUGUGCCUAGGUAUGAGAUUAUAAAAUGUUUAAAUUUCAGAGCUGUACUAGACACAGGCAACCUAAAAAAACGUACGGUUACUUUUUAGAUAGUUUUGGUCUUAUAACGAAGCCAAAGGCAACGUGAAUUGUUUCAUGGGGAGUUUAGACCCCUUGUCACCGUGUUCAACCUUGUCUAGUUCCUAUUAGUGAAUACUUAAAGUCCCUGUUAGGGCGAGGAUUUGACCAAGUUAUUCGUUAAGCAAGUAACUCAUAUUACUUCCUGUAAUAUGAGGUUUAGUGUAAUUCUGUGUAUGAAUUUUUUUUUUUUUUUUGCCUUGCAUGGAAACAAAUGCAUAAUCUUUAGUUUAAUGAAUACAGUGACAGUACGUGACAGUUUGAAUCGUAGAUAGAUAUUAUGAUUCGGCAUUAGGGUAUGCUGUGAACCUAUUGUAAACAUGAUGCAUGAUCACAUUUUUUGUCGGCUCAACACAUGCAACUUCCUUGCUAGUUCCUCAAGCAAGACCAUGUUCAAAAAAAAUGUCUGAAGAACUACUUAACAAUAGUUAUAGACUACUGCUGCUAGGGAUGAUCAAUAUAGGUACAUAUUGGAGGAUAUAGAAGAUCUUCAAAUUAUUCUAGCAACUCGAGUAAAAGAAAGCUUCAAGUAUUUGUCUCUCAGCGAUGUGGAUUAUGCUUGCUGGUAAUGAGCCAACAAGUAUCAGAACUUUUGGGAGACAUUUGAUUUUCGAAAAAUUUCAUGUAGGUUUUUGAUUUUUGAAGAUUAGAGUCACCCAAACCGGUUUGAGUAAAAGCUGUAGUUUUAGUUAAACAAAUCGAUUUGACCAAAAGCUUUAGUUUUAGUUAGCAGGGUUUCAGAACCCCAGCCAUGAUGAGUAGGUUAUUUGUAUGACUGUUUAUCGAGACGAGAUGUAUGUUUCAAGCUACUCACUUUUUCAGACUCCUUGAUAUGGAAUAGUGAAUUUCUGACUUUUCUCUACUUCUAUGCUUGCAUCAGAUCUCCUCCGGUAAUUGUACUGUUUAUUUCUCAAAGUGGUUCAGUUUGCCAAGUAGUCUGUUGUUUCUUCUUUUUAUCUUAAUUUUUCCGUUUCUGAUUUUGGUUUUAUCACAUUAGUGACGAAUCCUAUUUUUAUUUUUCGCAGAUAGAUUGCUAGUCGAAAAACUUAGGGUAUUCUGUCCUGACAUUCAUUACUAUAGGAGAAAAUUUAUCUAAUGAACUUCUAGAAAAUGGAGCUGUUGGUCUUUCCUUUUCCGCCUAAAACCCAAUUUUCAUGCUUAUCCAUAAUCUACUGUAGGAAGAAUCAACUCCAAUUGUAGAAAACACAGGGGGGUGGGGGAUAGAGAAUAAGAACAAUGGAGGAAGCACAUUAUUAUACCUUGAAGGAUGUACAGGGUUAACUCUUCAUCUGUUCUUUAGAUAGCUUCUUGGCACUGGUGUGACAAUAAAAUGUAUGCAGAGGUAUGAAAAUGUCUUUAUAUAGGAAAAUUUAAUAGCCUAGUGAAACUGAAGACAUAGUAUAGUUGCAAGUGACAUCAGAUGUAGACACUGAAUGUUAGUUAGGUCGUACUUGUAAAAUCCUGUCACAAAGGUGAGUGGUUGCUUUUGCUUAGCCUACUAAUAAGUAGUUGAUACUUGUCUAGUCGGAUAUGCUAAUGCUUCUUGAAGUGCAGUUAUUUGUGCAAGCCGUCGAUUUGUUUGGUGGCUUCUGUUUUACAUAUUCGCCUAGUGGAAGACAAUGGUACCCAUAAAGUUUCUGGUGGCGGCCGCGUUGAAAGAUGAAUCAUCUCUGUAAUUUUCCGUUCUUGUCAACUAUUUCCUUCCCAAUUUUGCUGGGUUGAUCAUGUUUACACCAGACCAGUGCUUCAUAUAUAGCUAAACAAUCAUAAUACGUCGAAUAUAAAUCACUCUUUUCAAUCUUGUCUCUUGUUUCUUUAAAACUAA